GUGGAGUCAUCGAAUCUUUGAACGCACCUUGCGCCCUUUGGUAUUCCGAAGGGCAUGCCUGUUUGAGUGUCAUUAAAUUAUCAACCUUGCUCUCGCUUUUACUGGCUUGAGUGAGGCUUGGAUGUGAGGGCUUGCUGGCUUCCUUCAGUGGAUGGUCUGCUCCCUUUAAAUGCAUUAGUGGAAUCCUUUGUGGACCGUCACUUGGUGUGAUAAUUAUCUAUGCCAUCUUGACUUUGAAGCAAAACUUAUGGGAAUCCGCUCAUAACCGUCUUCGGACAAUCAUUGACAUUUUGACCUCAA
rnacentral:misc_RNA from 1 species